UGAGGAAUAUUGGGCAAUGCCCGCAAGGGUGACCCAGCAACGCCGCGUGGAGGAUGAAUGUCGUAAGAUUGUAAACUCCUGUUAGAGGGGAAGAAUAGUACCGGUUGGACCGGUAUAUGACUGUACCCACAGAGAAAGCCCCGGCUAACUACGUGCCAGCAGCCGCGGUAAUACGUAGGGGGCAAGCGUUGUCCGGAUUUACUGGGUGUAAAGGGCGCGCAGGCGGGAUAAAAAGUCAGUGGUGAAAUCCUACAGCUUAACUGUAGAACUGCCUUUGAUACUUUUAUUCUUGAGUUCGGGAGAGAGAGACGGAAUUCCAGGUGUAGUGGUGAAAUACGUAGAUAUCUGGAAGAACACCAGUUGCGAAGGCGGUCUCUUGGUCCGACACUGACGCUGAGGCGCGAAAGCGUGGGGAGCAAACA
rnacentral:rRNA from 1 species